GGGCCCGCACAAGCGGUGGAGCAUGUGGUUUAAUUCGAUGAUACGCGAGGAACCUUACCAGGGCUUAAAUGUAGAACGACAGAGGUGGAAACACCUCCUUCUUCGGACGGUCUACAAGGUGCUGCAUGGUUGUCGUCAGCUCGUGCUGUGAAGUGUCGGGUUAAGUCCCAUAACGAGCGCAACCCCUAUUUCUAGUUGCCAGCGGUUCGGCCGGGGACUCUAGAGAAACUGCCAGCGUAAGCUGUGAGGAAGGUGGGGAUGACGUCAAAUCAUCACGGCCCUUACGUCCUGGGCCACACACGUGCUACAAUGGUGAGGACAGAGAGUUGCCAACCCGCGAGGGUGAGCCAAUCUUGAAACCUCAUCUCAGUUCGGAUCGAAGUCUGCAACUCGACUUCGUG
rnacentral:rRNA from 1 species